CUGCUGCGGGGAGAUCAUGUGCACGUGACCGUCGAUGCCGGCUGCGGUCAGGAUCAGGUGUUCGCCCGAAAUGGCGUCGGUGGCGGCACUGGUGACCAGGUCGGGAUGCACGCCGUGCAUGAUGUUGGGAUUGCCCGACUUGCCGAUGCCGGCGAUCUUGCCGUUCUUGAUGCCCACGUCGGCUUUCACCACGCCCAGCUUGGCGUCGAUGACCGUGACGUUGGUGAUCACCAGGUCCAGCGAACCCUCCUCCGAAGUCAUCGUAUUCGCAAGGCCCAUACCGUCGCG
rnacentral:sRNA from 1 species